UACGGAGGGUGCGAGCGUUAUUGGGAAUUAUUGGGCGUAAAGAGCGCGUAGGCGGUCUCUUAAGUCAGAUGUGAAAGCCCAGGGCUCAACCCUGGAAGUGCAUUUGAAACUAAGGGACUUGAGUAUGGGAGAGGGAAGUGGAAUUCCUGGUGUAGCGGUGAAAUGCGUAGAUAUCAGGAGGAACAUCGGUGGCGAAGGUGACUUCCUGGACCAAUACUGACGAUGAGGCGCGAAGGCGUGGGGAGCAAACAGG
rnacentral:rRNA from 1 species